UGGAACCAGAAGUCCACACUUUUAGGUGACA
rnacentral:piRNA from 1 species